GGGUUGAUACAUACACCUAGGUGGUCUAGUCGUGACCCACUGCCUCCACUCGUCUGCAUACAUCGGGGACCUUGUAUCCAUACAUCGUAGUGCAUCCAUCCAUGUGGAGUAGUAGUAGUAGCAGAGGGCCUCGUAUACUACUGGCCAUACAUACUACAUCUACUUACUCGUCACCCACCAUCUACUCUGUACAUCUAUCUACAUAUGCCUAUGCAGAUACUGCUGUCACAUCCUACGAUGGGUGCAGACACUUGUAUGCAUGGAGGUAUACGGAGAUACCAUUACCCCACUACGUGGUCACAUGUAGUUACUCCGUAUAUGGAGGUGAGGUACAAGGGAUGAAUACCCGACGUGGUAGGAUGUGACUACACCUCACGGUACACGUUAGUAUACGUACACCGUAUGGCAUGCACAUCCUGCCUAGACAUCCUCCUCCAUCAUCACUACUAGCUACUGCAUAGUCUACUAGCAGCAUAGCAUCCCAUCGAGGAAGUACUCCUUCCACUGGAUGCAUUAGCUAGAUGUAGUGGUGUAGCAGGACAACGCAUGGUGAGCACAUACUGUACGAGGUCCCCACUAGAUGAUCUGCUGUUGCCUAUGUUCAGUAGUAGUACUCGGUCCUCUUCAUCUAGUAGUAGUAUGUCGAGUACCUACGAGGUUGGGCCAGUGCAUGUGCUGUUACCAUGGAGACGUGUCCCUCUGCCAUCACCGUACACUACCGAUACGGCGAGGUCAAUGGGGAUCAUCGUAUAGGUCACCUCUACGUCGUCUCCUGCUAAUCACCACAUAGGGUGUAGCCAUACAGGUAGGUCGGACCUCUACUCAGCUAUCGUUGGUGGGUUCUCCACGGAGAGAGCUAGUGGUCCCCACAUACUCUGUGGUGGAGUCCUCCGACCUCACUACUAGCUACGAGAGGACCAGUAGACGUC
rnacentral:rRNA from 1 species